CCAUAACGGUCUUUGUGUUUAAUAUUUUUAGUCACUAUCAAAGUUUGACGCCUAAGCGUGUUUUUAAACUAGUAAUUUAGUUGACGGCGAAGAAACAUAAAAACUAACUGGACAAAUUUAGGUUAAAUUCAGAUCCAGUUUGUGCAUGUCAUACAGUUGCAGUUCAUACAUUUUGCACAAAGUUGGACCAAAAAGCCUGGAAGGAAUUGAUAUUUUCCAUUGGAUGUAGAACUUGGACCUCUGUUUUAUAGUUGUUGUUCCCUCUCAUUAUUUGAUUAAUCCUGAAGUCUAAGAGAACC